AUAUCUCCUUGGGACUUCUGCUUUUCCAGGCUGAAUAUGCCCAAAUCUCUCAGCCUGUCUUCAUAAGAGAAGUGCUCCAGCCCUCUAACCAUUUUAGUUCCUUUCCUCCAGAUCUUAUCUGACAGGUCAGUGUCUGCCUUGUGCUGGGAACACCAGGGCUAGAUGCAGUACUCCAGGAGGGAUCUCAAAUGUUCCCCUGGGAUAAACACUGAAUUAACAACAAAAUUGUCCCUCUACCACUGCUCCCAGAUCAGUCUGUGUACUCAGAUCACAUGCACCACCACGUUUCAAAAGAAAAAAGCAGUGGAAUGGAUGUCUCUAACAGGGGUGACAUUUGCAGCAAAGCAGCAUCACAGGGGCUCAGAUGGGCCUGUGCUCCACCAGAUGGAAGGAGAGGAGCUCCACUUGCAGAGAGCCCAGCAGCAAGUGACAGGAGCAUGGCUGACCACCUCAGGACUCCUUAGGGAGGGAAUCCAUGAGGAGUCAUCACUCGUAUUCCAUGUGUAAAUGACAAUAGCAAAAACCUCUGUAAAAGCCUGACAAUUGGAGUGGCUCAGCUGGCAACCCAGAGGGGAAGGCGACCAGGCAGAGAUCUUUCCUGGCUUCCUCCAGGCAGCCUUUCCAUAGCUGUUUCCAUGGAAACUGAAUUUAAAGGGACAACAAGCAGGGAAAAGUGCGCAUUUUCAUUAAUUCCUCAUUUAAAAUCUCAACCUUGUGUUUGCCAGGGACACAUUUAGUGCCAUGGAGGAGGACCCAGGCGCCAGCUGUUGAGCUGCAGAGCUGUGUGUGAGAUGAAGAGUUGAGAGCAUCAUCAGCAGCCACACAGAAUUUCUGUUCAAAUGUUUUAGGAACAGGCUAAUUGAUGCAGCCUGGUAGUAGUUGGUGAAAAUCAGCUCAGCGGAAGAUGCAAAAAGCCUGAUGCUGCCCUGUUGAAGCUGAUGGGAGUUUUGCAUUUAGGAACCCAUGUGCCUUCCUCAAAGCCCAGCAAGAACUAGUGAAGAUGUGCUCCUGGGAGCUGGUGUUCCCACAAGGUAUCAGUGAUGGACAACAUCAGAGAGGAUUCCAUGUGCUGGAGGAGAGGGAGCUUCCAAUGAGACUAGGAGAAGGCUGUGUGACUAAACUGAGCAAAAACAACAUUAUUGACCAGAAGAACAAAUCUACAAUGUUCCUAAAGAAAAACAGGGCACUUCUAUUGGAAAGUUUGCCAGCCUGAAAGCAUAGACAGGUGUAUAUAAUUUUGAGAUUGUGUGUACAUAUAUAUGCAACAAAGGCAUCUAGUUUGUGGAUGUCACUGCUUCAGAGGUGAUCACUCUGGGACUCUUCAAUGCCACAUGUGUCACUGCUGUCAUUAAAGGAAAUGAACCACAUGCUGUGCAUCUAACCUCGUGUCCCACCCUUGCACCUAGCUGUAGCUCAGCCACAACAGCACCUCACAACAAACUCUCACUGAGAUAAUUAACUGGGGAUAUCAGAGGUGUCUGCUUCAUUACUGCUGUGUGCUGCCUGCGGGUUCCCUCCAACGUUUUUCCACCUAAUGGCCUUUGCUGAUAACUCGCUUUUUUCCUAGGUGCUGCUUGUUGGCACUUCUCUAAAACAGUGCUAAUGAUCUAAUAAAUAUGAUUAUGCAAAAGUGGUUUGUCUCCUUUCAGCAUAAGCUAACAAUGCUAUUAGAGACCAGAGGAAAAUACGUUCUCUUUGACACAAAGAACAGCUUUUCCACCAAAUUGAAAUAAAUAAGCUGGAAUGAGUAGCAAGUGUUACAGACCUGCAAUUGGAUCAUAUUUUACUGGAUUUCUAUUGAUGGAUGAGGUUAAAUAAGGUCUGAAAUUUUGCCUUCUAGUUAAUUGUUAUGGCGUAAACAUGAAAAGAAAAGGAACAGAAAUGACAUUUCAGUCAGUGGGAGGAAAAUAAACAGAAAAGGAACCAAGGAAAACAAAAAAUAAAACCAGUGAGAUUAAGAAAAUCCAAUGAGUACACAGGGGCCAAAUGGUCAUGAGAGAGACAGAGACCACAGAUAGUCCUGAUGGCCUCAUGUUGUUUCAUUUUAUCUUCUGGCAAAUGGCACAUGGGGCUGCGGGGGAAGAAAUAGAGUAAUUCUAGGAUUAUUUAUUAUCAGAGACCAUUUAUUGAUAGCCUGCUUUUUGUUGAAAAGUGCAGACUUACCACUGAGAACACUUUCUCCCAGAGACUGAGCAUUUGGCAGCAGCAGCCCUCAAAUCAGCACUUGCAGCUUGCGGGAUAUGUCCUCCUCCCUCCUGAAACUCACUCCCUGUUUCACAUGCACUUGUCAUUUCUGCAGUCCCCACAUGAGCAGGUCAACUCUUCAUUUCAUAUAUGAGGAUGAGUCACUGAAGCUUUUUCUAACAAAGCUGAAUGUUAACCUCUUUGUUAAAAUACCUGAACUUUCUUUGUUCACAUGGAGAAUUUCUUGGGUGAAAGAGAAAGUAUCUUUCUAACAAUGCUAAGAAUAAAGAAGUCUGAUUUCUCUUCCACUGGAAUCUCUUUUGACUGGCUUUGAGUCCUUGUUUUGGCUGAGAUAGGCUUUUCCCUCAUUAUUAGUCUUAGGUAUUAAUACUGUGUUAAUAGAUGUAUAACAUUUUUCAACAUGUAGAGUGCUGAAA